rnacentral:piRNA from 1 species
UAAGAUAGCCACAGUUGGUCUAGUCAUAAGU